UCUUAGAGCUCGAGAUGGAGUCAAAUGGUGAUCCAAUAUGUGCCACGCUUUACCUCAUUUUGGAUAUCUACAUGAUCAGAAUAUCAACCAAGCAAAACCUCCGACCACUCCCCGGACCCUCGUGCACUGCCUGUCUCAAAGUUACCAUUCAGUUUCCUCUUUCAUUCUGCUCCGUUUCUAAACGACUGAGAAAAAAUGGAACUGACAUCCAUGACUCCUACCUUCAAAAUCUCUUAGCUAAAUCCAAGAAGACAAGCAAGAUCCCAUGUCUCUUACUUAAUCACACCAGUUUCCUGUUUAUCAUCUCCAGACCAAAUGACACCAACCAAAACCCUCUUCGGUUCUCUCAAAAAGAGCAACAUUCUAUACGGGAAUAGUGCUAACACCAUAAAAAAUAUACCUAUACCAACCAUGACUGAAAUAUUGGCAGCAAACUCUCCAGUUCUCUCAAACUCUAGGACCCUUUUUUAGAAUCACAGCCAAGAGUCUUGAAACUCAAAAUGAGCUUGGGAGAGCUGAAAGGCUUAUAAGGUUAUGGUUAAAAGGCAAGAUUCUUCAUUUAGAUUCAAUAAGAUUGAAAAGAGAGACGCUUGGCAUGGAAAAAUCCAUCUUUGGCAUUGGUUUGUUCAUUGGAGCUGUUGCUAUUCGCUUCUCAGGUUCUAUACAAGAAUUGGGUUCAAGACUGUAUAUGAAGAAACAGGCUCAACUGUAGGAGACCUUCCUCACAUGUUGGUCUGGGGUGGCAUAGGAACAAGAAUGGAUGCUGAUGUUGAAGAUCUUCUAAUAAAUUGGUGUGCCAGGUUUAAGAGUCGAGAAUGAAUGUUGAGAUCCAUUGCUCAUGCAGUUUAUCCUGCAAUCAUGAGGUUCAAAGGCUGGAAUUCUGAACUGAAAUGAAUUAUGUUUGGUUGAAGGCAUUGGCCUAAAUUAUUGCCCUGACCUGUUAGCUUGGAGAAAUAGAAUGAUUUUCCCGGAAAAUGCUCAUACUUUUCGGUUGGUACCAAGAUGCAAAUAAAUUUUAUUGCAGGUUUGAUGGGGCCAAAAGGAAGGAAAAGGUACUGCUCUUUUUAUAUGAUGGCAUAUUUCACUGGGAAGACUCGAAGUAUAAGUGAAUGCUACUUAAACUUGCAAGUCAUUACAUUUCCCUCAUAACAAUGAUGCUCAAGCACAGAACUUACAUGAAGAAACAUCAUUGAUUACAUAUUCAUCUACAGUUUUCUGAUACUGGUUAAAUACUCUGUUCAAGAUUUUGUAGGUGUUCAAGCAGUAAAAGCAGUUUUUGUAUUGAUUUUUAUUUUCUGGGAAUAAUUUGCUAGCAACUGCUUUCAUGA